GCAGAAGUAGCUCAGUUGGUAGAGCAUAACCUUGCCAAGGUUAGGGUCGCGAGUUCGAGUCUCGUCUUCUGCUCCA
rnacentral:tRNA from 1 species